rnacentral:rRNA from 1 species
CCUACGGGAGGCAGCAGUAGGGAAUUUUCGUCAAUGGGCGCAAGCCUGAACGAGCGAUGCCGCGUGAGUGAAGAAGGCCUUCGGGUCGUAAAGCUCUGUUGCGGGGGAAAAAAGGCAGCAUCAGGAAAUGGGUGCUGACUGAUGGUGCCCCGCCAGAAAGUCACGGCUAACUACGUGCCAGCAGCCGCGGUAAUACGUAGGUGGCGAGCGUUAUCCGGAAGGAUUGGGCGUAAAGGGUGCGCAGGCGGUCCUGCAAGUCUGGAGUGAAACGCAUGAGCUCAACUCAUGCAUGGCUUUGGAAACUGGAGGACUGGAGAGCAGGAGAGGGCGGUGGAACUCCAUGUGGAGCGGUAAAAUGCGUAGAUAUAUGGAAGAACACCAGUGGCGAAGGCGGCCGCCUGGCCUGUUGCGGACGCUGAGGCACGAAAGCGUGGGGAGCAAAUAGGAUUAGAUACCCUGGUAGUC